rnacentral:snoRNA from 1 species
GCUGGCAAUGAUGACACACUUGCCCUCACUGAGAUCCAUCGCAGGGAUUGUUGUUGAGAACAUCCUCUGUGCUCACUGUGGGCUGAGCCUCC